rnacentral:rRNA from 1 species
AACGAACGCUGGCGGCAUGCCUAACACAUGCAAGUCGAACGAGACCUUCGGGACUAGUGGCGCACGGGUGCGUAACGCGUGGGAACCUGCCCUUAGGUUCGGAAUAACUCCCCGAAAGGGGUGCUAAUACCGGAUAAUGUCUUCGGACCAAGGAUUUAUCGCCUUUGGAUGGGCCAGAGUUGGAUUAGCUAGUUGGUACGGUAAAAGCCUACUACGGCGACGAUCCAUAGCUGGUCUGAGAGGAUGAUCAGCCACACUGGGACUGAGACACGGCCCAGACUCCUACGGGAGGCAGCAGUGGGUAAUAGUGGACAAUGGGCGGAAGCCUGAUCCAGCAAUGCCGCGUGAGUGAUGAAGGCCUUAGAGUUGUAAAGCUCUUGUACCCGGGAUGAUAAUGACAGUACCGGGAGAAUAAGCUCCGGCUAACUCCGUG